rnacentral:rRNA from 1 species
UACGUAGGGGGCAAGCGUUGUCCGGAAUCAUUGGGCGUAAAGAGCUCGUAGGCGGCUUGGCAAGUCGGGUGUGAAAACUCCAGGCUCAACCUGGAGAUGCCACUCGAGACUGCUAUGGCUAGAGUCCGGUAGGGGACCACGGAAUUCCUGGUGUAGCGGUGAAAUGCGCAGAUAUCAGGAGGAACACCGGUGGCGAAGGCGGUGGUCUGGGCCGGCACUGACGCUGAGGAGCGAAAGCGUGGGGAGCAAACAGG